rnacentral:rRNA from 1 species
GACGAACGCUGGCGGCAUGCCUAACACAUGCAAGUCGAGCGAGUAGAUCCCUUCGGGGUGAAGCUAGCGGCGGACGGGUGAGUAACACGUGGGCAACCUGCCUCAUAGAGGGGAAUAGCCUUCCGAAAGGAAGAUUAAUACCGCAUAAGAUUGUAGCUUCGCAUGAGGCAGCAAUUAAAGGAGCAAUCCGCUAUGAGAUGGGCCCGCGGCGCAUUAGCUAGUUGGUGAGGUAACGGCUCACCAAGGCGACGAUGCGUAGCCGACCUGAGAGGGUGAUCGGCCACGUUGGGACUGAGACACGGCCCAGACUCCUACGGGAGGCAGCAGUGGGGAAUAUUGCACAAUGGGGGAAACCCUGAUGCAGCAAUGCCGCGUGAGUGAUGACGGCCUUCGGGUUGUAAAGCUCUGUCUUCGGGGACGAUAAUGACGGUACCCGAGGAGGAAGCCACGGCUAACUACGUGCCAGCCGCCGCCGUAA